AUACGUAGGGGGCGAGCGUUGUCCGGAUUUACUGGGCGUAAAGGGUGAGUAGGCGGUUGUAUAUGUCAGGUGUAAAAGGCUAUGGCUUAACCAUGGUUAGCACUUGAAACUGUACAACUUGAGUGCAGGAGAGGUAAGUGGAAUUCCUAGUGUAGCGGUGAAAUGCGUAGAUAUUAGGAGGAACACCAGUGGCGAAGGCGGCUUGCUGGGCUUUUACUGACGCUGAGGCUCGAAAGUGU
rnacentral:rRNA from 1 species